UCAUUUCAUUGUUUUAAAUCUUAUUAUCUUUUAAUAUCAAAAAAAAUAUUCUUAAACUUUUGUGUGUGUAUAUUUGUGUAUCCAUAAAAAUAGCUAUUAAGGCGACCAGGGAAAAAAUCAUAAUUUUGGUCAAAAAUAGCUAUAUACUAAGCAUUUUUUAUUUGUUUUACUUUAUUUAAAGCCUAUUGUAUAUUAUCCCGAAGUUUCAUUCCAUAAAAAACAGAAAUAAGGAAAUUCGAUAUUUCGUGUACCAUCAGCAUCCAAAUUUUCAAGUAUACAGAAAUUUAACUUUCCGGAAUAUAACGGAAAUUUUCGGGUAUCUCCGUGGUACCAUCUCCGUGCAAUUAUGCAGUAUGGCGUUCAUCUCUUACGGAAAGAGAAUGGUAACUUGGUAAGUGUUUAAAAUACAUAUUCAACGUUUUUUUUCGUUUAUUUUUAUGACUUUUGUACAGUAGUAUAAAUCGUCCACCCUUUGGAUGAAAAGCAAAUGAUUUAUCCGGAUUUUGUUCAUCCGAAACUAAAUCACUAGUAUCAACAUCCGGUGUAAUUUUUGCUUGUAUAUUGGAGAAACUCGAUUGAUUUCUAGCAAACUUGGUUUACCACUACAUCGUCGCUUAUUAUUAUUUGUUGCUGCUUGGGACAAUAAAGUUAAGUCAGCAACCGUCUACCAGACUGCAAGAUUCAUCUCUUCCAAAGGAUGUCGUACCUUUCCAGAUACACUGUGUUUUGUGUGGAUAAGAAAUGCAGAGUGGUACCACCAAUCACCUAAGCCACCAUUCCCCUAACAGACAAUAGGCUCAUGGGGACAGUUUCUGCAAUUUACAGAAAAGCUCUCAAUUGUAGCCCUACGAACUUAAGAUACUGCCGAUGGUGAAGCUUGGGUGCACCGGGCCGGUUUUCCAGCCGUGUGGAAUCUCCAGCUGAACUGGGGCCGGGAAUUAUAUAAGACUCCUUAGCAGCAUGAGUGCCAGCCAGUCAUUGCUGUUCUUUGCAUUGCUGAGGAGGACAGUCCUGCCAACAUAACAGUUUGUUCAAUAACAGGAGACAAACAGAAACACAGAGGUGCUAUACAUUCUGAUGGAAAAACAAAAGCAUCUCCCAUCAUUUUGGCGUGGCUCAGAUCAAGAGGAGAAUUUUAAGAAAGGUGAUGGUUGGGCACACACAAGAAGACAUAGAUCACAGGUGUCUAGCCAUAUGAGUAGAUAGGAGUGUCACACUCUGCCAAACUUACUUCAUCAGACGAGCAGAAAGCUUCUCAAGAUCCCGCACUGCACACUAAGACAUAGUCUUUGACUACAACAAGGUGAUGAAAGUACAGAGGUCCAAUUGAAAUCAAUUCUGUGCUGCUGUCAUUUCUUCAUUCUGGAAGUCGAUGGACAUGAUUUAUUAUGGCAUCAAGUGUGCAGUUUGCCGACUAUCAGCAGUCUUGUUCACCAGCUGUGCAACUUGAGCUGGUAGCUUUAUUGCUUGAAGCCACUGCAUAAGAGGGGGAAGGUACAGGCUCAUCAAAAAGUCUCAAAAGUUGAAACUAGGAAAAGAAGUUUAUCAAGAGUGUGAAUCUAUUUUGAAAACAAUCCUUACAAUGAUUUGGUUUCCUUUGAAACUUCAUACAUACUAUGAAUUGAGAUGCUUAAAUAAAAAACCGCUAUUCAAAUAUCAGGAAACUGCCUUUUUCAUACUAAAGGGUAAAUGAUGUCGCCAUUUCCUGUAUGUAUUUAAAUAAGAUAUGU